rnacentral:rRNA from 1 species
UACGUAGGGGGCUAGCGUUGCUCGGAAUCACUGGGCGUAAAGCGCACGUAGGCGGAUUGUUAAGUCAGGGGUGAAAUCCUGGAGCUCAACUCCAGAACUGCCUUUGAUACUGGCGAUCUCGAGUCCGGGAGAGGUGAGUGGAACUGCGAGUGUAGAGGUGAAAUUCGUAGAUAUUCGCAAGAACACCAGUGGCGAAGGCGGCUCACUGGCCCGGUACUGACGCUGAGGUGCGGAA